rfam:Salmo salar isolate Sally breed double haploid chromosome ssa11, whole genome shotgun sequence.
UGCAUUCACUACUGUAAGUUGCUCUGGAUAAGAGUGUCUGCUAAUUGACUAAAA